rnacentral:rRNA from 1 species
UAGGGAAUCUUCCACAAUGGACGAAAGUCUGAUGGAGCAACGCCGCGUGUGUGAUGAAGGGUUUCGGCUCGUAAAACACUGCUGUAAGAGAAGAAUGACAUUGAGAGUAACUGUUCAAUGUGUGACGGUAUCUUACCAGAAAGGAACGGCUAAAUACGUGCCAG